GUUUAUUACUGUGUGGCCAGGAAUGAGCUCGGUAAUCAGACAUCACCACAGAUCAAUCUGACUUUUGCAGCAGACACCUCUCCUCUUUGGGGUUCAGCUUUUGGGAUCAUUGUCGUAGUCGUCUGCCUCGCUGUCUGUAUUUGGUGGUUAAAGAGGAAACAUCAAACUCCCCAACAGAACCCGGUGGGAACAUACUUAACUCAUACUUCAAC